UGGCAUCUCCUCUACCAUUUUGGACCC
rnacentral:piRNA from 1 species